rnacentral:rRNA from 1 species
UACGUAGGGUGCGAGCGUUAAUCGGAAUUACUGGGCGUAAAGUGUGCGCAGGCGGCCGAGCAAGUCGAGUGUGAAAGCCCCGGGCUUAACUUGGGAAUUGCGCUCGAAACUACUUUGCUGGAGUGUGGCAGAGGAAGGUGGAAUUCCACGUGUAGCGGUGAAAUGCGUAGAGAUGUGGAGGAACACCAAUGGCGAAGGCAGCCUGCUGGGCCAACACUGACGCUCAUGCACGAAAGCGUGGGGAGCAAACAGG